ensembl:rRNA 5S_rRNA 5S ribosomal RNA
GUCUAUGGCCAUAUUACCCUGGAUGUGCCCAAUCUUGUCUGAUAUCUGAAACCAAGCAGGGUCAGGUCUGCUUAGUACUUGGAUGAGAGACCUCCUGGGAAUACUGGGUGUUAUAGGCU